UCUUCUUCCAUGGCUAUAUCUACUCUCUUUUUCUCAUGUGUGUUGACUAAGACUAGCAUCAACAGCUAAGGUCCUGGAAUUGUUUCAAACGAUUCAGGAGAUCUAAUCAAGUUGACAUGGACAAGAGGGAGGCAGCUCAGCUCUAACACCUCUGCCAAACUUGAUAGAAAUUCCUUGGAAAAUAGUAUUGAAGAAUGCUUAUCCAGGACAUGAAGACAUAUCAUAUCUGUGGACCAUCAGGGAAGCUUUCCCAUGACUUCAGAUUUCAAAGCUACAGGUGGUCUGCAAGCAUGGCACUUCAAAGUGUGUUUUGAUUAAAUCAAGCAAUGUUUUCGUAAUAUGGAUCCCAGAUCUUUGAACUUUUUUCAGAUCAAUUCAGCCAACAAAGAUUCAAUUAGUUUCAGCUUUAGUUUAAGAGAUGAUUGUUCUGAUGUGAGAUUUUCUAAAAUGACAAAAGGAACAGACUGAUGUGAUAAAUGCUACAAUGACCUGUACAGCUGCAUUCCACUUUACCAAUACAGAAAUCAUUCUACAUAGUCCAUCAAGUAAAAAUAUGGCUUUAUAUGAGAAGAAUCUGAAAAUCC